rnacentral:rRNA from 1 species
AAACCGCCUAGAGGUAAACGGGUGGAUCCGCAAAGUCGGCCCGCGGAAUUCAGCUCGGGAGACAAGCGCCUGCGGGCGGGUCGGGGAUCUUAAUCGACCCUCCCGUCCCAGGACGCGCGUCGGCCGUGUGCACUUUCCGCGGGCAGAGCGCCACGACCGGUUCUCGGGUGGUCAGAAGGCGGCGGGGAUGGUAGGUGGGCGCUUCGGCGCACACUGGUAUAGCCCCGCCUGUCCCGAUCCACUCGGGGACCGAGGAGCCGCCGCCGGCGUAGGCCGCCUCGCUCUCCUGGGAUGUUCGACUGGCAGAGACUGGGCAACCGUGUCUGCCGACCGCUUCCUCGGAUGGACUGGGGUGGGCCCGCCGGCACAGGGUCGGUGGCGAAUCGGUCGGCCCUCCACCCGACCCGUCUUGAA